rnacentral:lncRNA from 1 species
AUAAAGGACUUGUCUAGGGGAGAGCCUAUGGAUCUGAGAACGCUGUCUGGGCUUGGUACCAAGAGCUGGUAUUUCACAGCAGCGACCGCCUCACAGACGAGCUGUGGGAAGCAGGAGGGAGACUCUCUCUUAGGGUGCCACUACUAUGGAGACACAGCUGGGCUGAACAAGAUUUGCUUCAAACGACAACAAGAGAGACAGAAAGUAUCUGGUUCAACCGCUGCCCGAGCAGGCAGGCACCAGAAGAGCUAGCAGCCAAUCCGGCCAUGCUCGAAGCCAGCUCUGCAGCUCAGCCAAUCAGUGACAUCAUUGCUUUCUUUAGCUUGCCCAUGGUGAUGUGAAGAUGAGAAGAAAUAGCAAGGCCCAACCAGUUCUUCAUCUGGAGACAGUUCAACGUUCUGCAAACCAGAUCUUCAGGAAUUUUACUGGGAUAAUUAUCCAAAUAAAUUGCAAGCAUUCUAUCCAAAUGGACAUCCAUAAAAAUUCAUCAGAGAGCAUUUUACUACUGAGCUGCAAAGGGAAAAACUUAAAAUGGAUAUGAAAAGUGAAGAAAGUGAUCAUAGGAGAAAACCAUUUCAGGUGUCUGAUGAUUUGUGAGCCUCAAGUGACUACUCUGUGGAAUCAUCUGUCCUUGCCUUUGAAUUAGCUUUCCCUAGGCCAUGAGUCAACAUUAGUAGUUUAUACAUCCAAAUUGAUGACAAGAGCACCUCAAAGGCAGCAGCCUCAAGGAGCAGCCAUGGCCCCAGACUUGUCGCACGGAUGCAGAAAACUUAAUGGAGGAGGCUGAGGUCAGAAUGGGAAGAGUUUUUAAAAAAUAAAAAGGGGAGCUAAUAUGUGAGGAACUGAUUGCUGUGCAUUAUUUUCCACUGAACAGACCUUCUUUUAACUUCUAAUCUCAAGCACAUAGCAGCUGUUGUUUUCAUAUUAAAGAUCAGUAAGUGUUUGUUGAAUGAAUGUAUAAAUUCUUCCCCAAUCUCUGUUCCAUGUAAUAAGAACUAAGUUAGCAUUCAAUUAUAAAGAGGACUUAGAAAGUCUGCAGACAUUUUUGAUCAAAAAUCCUUUUAACUGUCUUCUUAUGGUUCCCGGUAACACCUAAGCCCAAAAAACUCAGGUCAUUUCUUGCCUGUACUGUUGCAAUAGCCUCAUAAUAACUAGUCUUCUCCUUUAUCAACCACAGUCGUCUCCGCUACACAAAGAAGAGAGGGUGCUAAUCUAAAGUGUAAAUUAUUUUAAAUCAGCACCCUUCUUGUAAUUUCCCAGUGGUUUUUCCUGUCAUAAGAAUAACAUGCAAAAUUCCUUGCUUGCAAAGCCAGGUAUGACCUUGCCCCGUCUACCUUACUGGCAUCGUCUCUCAUGACUCUUCCCCUUUUUCACUCUCCAUCUUGCCUUUUCCCAACCAUGCCUGCUAGUGAGCCUUAGCCCUUGUGUUUUCUCUGCCAGGGAUGCAUGACUGGCUUCUUUACUUUAUUCUGAUCUCUCUGCUCAAAUGUCAUCUUUUUAGAGAUAGCUUUCCUAAACAUCUUUAAAAGUACCCCAUGAACUGUGAAACACCUUUCCUGCUUUUUCUUCAUAGUACUUAUCACUUCCUGAUAUUAUGUUAGACAACAAGCAAAUAAGUAUAUGCUGUUCCCACUAAAAUAUAAGCUCCAUUUGAACAGGAGCCUUGAUUAUUCCUGAGUAUACCCCUAGUGCCCAGAACCUAGUAGGGCUUUAAUAAAUAUUAGAUUCAUUUGUUGAAUGAAAAAAUGAAUGAAUAAUUGAAUAAAGAUAUCCAGGUAGAGUGUCCGGGCAGCCCAACCUAUGUGAAGCCAGUACAAGAAUGUUUCUGUGACAUAGUGAGCGCAAUUAUUCCUCUAAAUGAUGAACUUGCAUGAGUACACAAGGAUAAAAUUAAGCACGUAGUUUAGAUUUCUGCAAGUCUCUUCCUCAGAUUGAGGAAAAACAAAGAAAUUGAGCUUAUUCUCACCUCAUUCUUACAUGAACUAAAUCCAGAAUAAAGCAUCAUUUAAAUACCAAGCACAUCCCUACCUCAGCCACUCAUGGAAUACUUUAUCUGUAAAGGGACAGAUAGAUAGUAAAUAUUUUUGGCUUUGGGGACCGUACAGUCUGUGUCGCCACUACUCAGCACUUCUGUUGAGGUGUGGAAUCAGCCCUAGACAACACAUAAACAAAUGGGUGUGGCUGUGUUCCAAUAAAAUGUUAUUUAUAAAACUAGGAAAUCAGCAGAUUUAGUCCACAGGCUGUAGUUUGCUGACCCUUGAAUUAGAGAGUCUUCCCCAAAUCCUCUUCCCAAGUUAUUGAAAGAAUGCCCAUAGGACCAUAGCUCCCUCACCUGGUUCUUUCAAGAAAUGAGACAAAUUCAGGGAUGGUUGGAGGGUGGAACGCCUACCUGUGACAUGACUAUUGAGCCUGAUUUCUUUCCUUUUAUCUCUUUAAAGUGAGUCAGGUCUUAACUUUAAACUGUCUCUAAAGUGGCAAUAACUGGGCCAUGUCAAAUACUCCCAAUGACAAAAUUUCUUCUUGGAGAAUGAAUGAGGGUUGCAUACAGUGGUGUGUUGGUAAAUGUUUAGCAACUGGCUCUCUUACUGAUUUCUGUAGUGUAAAUUCUCCCAUCCUGGCCAUCUGAAACUACCAAUAUGAUGUCACUUGAUGUAGAGUUGGGAAAAGACAGUCUCUUGAAUAAGUAUGAGCUGGUUCCAGCCCACUGCUGAACACAUAUUUAAAAGCUACAAUAGCUCUGCUCACUGCCAUUGCAGAGUCUGGAGGAAAGAGUAGCAGGCUUGAUAGGAGCAAUUGGCUGAAUAAUCUUUUGCAAUGCCAAUAAAUAAUGAAAAAGUAUAUAAAUAUAACGCUGUAUAGAAAGCUCUCAAGUUCAGUGUUUGGUUAAAAUACAUACUCAGUAAAUGGUAGCUAUUAUUGUCUUAGUUUAAGUUAUUGCAAGCAUUAAAAUUAAAUGUUUAGCUACAGACUCAAUCCAGUUUUAAUGUCAUUGUGUUAAUAAGGCCUCUUAACAUUGAAGCAACAAAGAUAAAGGAAUUUUUUUGUAGCUAUUCACGAUUCUGCCCAGCUCAAGGUAAAGAUAGCAACAAAAUACUCCAACCAGAAUAAAAGAAGUCUCCACUUGACUGCAGCUCUUCGCAACACUUCACAAGGGUCAAGCUGUGUUAGUUUCCUUCAGUGUUAAACAGAAUGCAUCUUAAGAGAAUAGUUCAAUUAUUGAUUGAAUAGUAGGUUCAAGUUGACUAUAAUCCCAACUAAUACACUCUAAGACCAGGGAUGGGCCGACAGAAGGGUAAAGUUUUCCACUCAAGUCUCGAGGCAAACACUCAGAUAGAAGUAGUAAUAUGGAUGCCUUCUAUUAUUUGGUCACAUACAAUACUGUUCCAGCCCAGUUGUGCAAAACUGGUGAAAUAAAAGGCAAAAAUAUUGACAACAGUUUGGGUAACUGGAUUCCAAAAUGGGCAUCCAUCUAAGAG